rnacentral:lncRNA from 1 species
AAAAAGCUAAGUUUGGGGUGGUAAUCUUGAAAGAAGGGCAAGUGCAUAAGAAGAGAACUAAAAGUAAUGCAAAAAAAAGAGACGUGUAUAUGUCCUCAAAGAAAAAAAAGAAGAGAAAUGCACUUGUCGAGACUUAAGACUCUAACACCUGUAAAAUGCUCACAGAGAAUUGAGUUACAAAGAGUCAAGAGUGAAUAAAUCCCCAGAGUUAUGAGUUAAGCACGGAAAAAAGAAGAGAAAAUCAAACAA